UUUAUGUCUCUGUUUUAUCUUUUUAAGCAGAAGAAAGUUAAGACUGACUAGGAAUUCUAAGUGAGGAAGAGUCCCUUUCCCAUUCCGCUGCAGCCAUGAGGAGAAUACUCGUAAGAAUCAGACUUUACUUCUUUUUUACCUAUGGAACUUCAUCAUGACCCACUUUAACAGGCAGGAGUCUUACAAUAUUUUCAAGGAAUUUGACAAGGGAAGAGGACCAGUGCUGACCAAGUGAAGAAAAAGAAGAGUCUAUUGCCAAGCUUUGUACAGCAGCCAAUAUCUGAUUAAGGAGUGGGCAGACGGUUAUGCUGGCAUUGAUCCUGUUUCCAAAAGCAGAUCAACAUGAUUCCUCAAGACUCCAAAGAGAUCAACUAUGGGACCUGAAAAUAA